rnacentral:lncRNA from 1 species
ACCCCACUUAAACCAGUUCUGCAUUGGAUUACUAAAGCUGCUCAUAACAUGCAUCAAUCAUAAACCUAUAUGAAAUUUCAUAUCUGUAAAAAUACUUUCAAAUAUUAAAUGCUAUGAUACACCACCAAUUGAGUACUUGCUUCAUCAAGUACUAAGUCUCAUUGCUUAUAAGCUAUUAAAUAUUAUGGAAAACUAGAAAUGGUUGCAUGUCAGUUACUAAAUCUGUUACAUAAAAUAGGUCAGGUACUGUCCUGUACUGGCUCUGUAUUUGACAAAUGAUAAUAUCUGAUACAAAAAUUGGGGUGAGAUAUUUAGCUUUGAUUCAAUCCUCACCUUGACUUAAAGCAGAGUUAAGCAAACGAGUAUCAUGUGGAGGCUUAGAUGUCCACUCCACUAGUCCUUGCCAGCAUGGCCGGUGGCAAGAACUUGGGUGAAGUGUGGUUCCAAACAGCUGGAGGAGCUCAAGUUGUCGUCCCUUUGGCCAAAGGAUGCUGUGUUGUUGCCUGUCAUGCAUAGACCAAGAUAGCUCUCUUUGUUUUCCUUCCACCUUGCAGUGAAUGUCGUAGUAGUAGUUGACGGGAACUGUAUCCUCCAAUAUACCCAUCGUCAGUCACCUUGUUCCUGCCUUUCUGAUGGGCAGCCUCUCUUGCCCCGACGCCCUCCACCAACUUACGGUGCUGUACCCCCCAGUCCCAUUAUCCCCAGAGGCCCAGCUUGCGGCCAAGAAGCUGGACCAGCCCCAUCACGCAGGACCCGUGGACUCAGCGUCCGCUGUUGCACCAAAGCCUGUCUGGGCGAUGAAGAGGAACAUGCCGAGCGGCACCUCCAUCGGGGCCCAACCUGCAGCCGCCUUACCCCCGUGCCCUUGCCCUGCAGCCCUUCUGGGCCCUGGUUUGGAGUAGGAUCCCUCAGUGGAGGCAGGCGAGGGGCUCGGGUUGUGAAGAUCUGGGACCGGCACCGAUGCCCUUUAUUGGAAGAAGGAGAUGUCAUCGCCAAGGUGAAUGGGGCUGACGUCCGAGAUCUGAGCCCUGGAGAAGUGGAGAGUGUGUUGCAGGAGCAUAUGCGAACAGGAGAUGUGAUCCUUCUGGUGGAAAGGAAAGGUCAUCAUUCCCAUAGGCAUCCUCAGGAAAACUGCUCUGUUAGACAAGAACAUUUCUUGCCCAACUCCACUCGUAACAAAAGUGGUCCUCGGGAUCUUUCUAACCCUUGGGGAGGACCCCCAGGUGACACUUUGACUGUAACCAGUUUUGUGGGUCCUGAACCUCGCAAUGUACUUGUGUGUCCUGCUCGUUGUUCCCAAAGGCUGAGGAGGCCUCGCCCAGCAGGAGGGGCUGGGGAACCCAUAAAUGUGGAUGGUCCAAAAGAACAGCAUGGAUGUUGCACUGCACUACCAACUGAUGGAGUUGCAGCUGGAAGAACUGGUAAGAAGGAUGGAACAUAAUGGGAAUUUUAGUCUGCACCCAUGUCCUGCCAAAAUUCCAAAUGUUGUGCUCAUGCUCUUUGAACCAAUUCCAAAUAUUUGCUUAACAUACCUUUGUAUGUAGUUGGUUGCUGUCGUUGAUGCAGAUGCCUUAGAAAUGAAAACAAAUGAGCUGGCACUUAAAGAAAAUACAAAAUAGACAGUUGCACAAUUCUUGCAUUAGGUAAUGUUAUGAAAGAGUGCAAGUUUCUGGAUUAUUUGAAAUCCCAAAUCAGGACAGGUAAUAUAAAAAACCAAAGAACAGGGGAAGAAAAGGAAUUAGGUCAAAUGUGAUCAUCAGGUCUAUUUUAACAUUGUGAAGACUUUGUUGGUACAUUGAAUGUAUUUCUUAGUAGUAGGUUGCAGGUAUCAGAUUAUGUCUGGCAUUCUGAAGCAAAUAAUGAUUAAACACAGGCACUUUCCCCAAAUAAAUGAGAAUCCAGAUCAAUUUUUACCUUAGAAUAUAGGGGGAGGGGCUGAUAGUUCAGAGGAGAACAGACGUAAGGAGAAAUAUAACCAUCUUUAUCUUAGAAAAGCUGAAAUUAUUUAAGCAAUAAAGUUGUGGAGGGCAAAUUUAGAAACUGCAAGGAACAUAACCUUCAAAACGCAAAAAUUCUUUCAGUGGGAAAUAUUCUGGUACUAGAUUUCACUUCGUUAAAUUCUGUAUUUAAGUAAAAGAGGCCUUUUGGUUCAGUAUCUAGUAUGCUAAUUAUUUUAUUAUAGUUUAUUCCCAUUGCAUAAUUCUACAGAACCUGCACAUCUUUGCACAAAGCAAUAAAAAAUGCUAUGUCAUAUUUGUCAUUUUCAAAAUAAUACCUCUAAAAAAAACCCUAAUCUUUAUCAUAUGAAGCAUCUCUGGCUGAUAUCUUUCAAUGUAACUGUACUACAAUCAUUGUUCAGUUUCAAGAAUAAUAACUAUGUUGCUAUAAAAACACCAGUCGUGUGACAUUUUUAAAAAUGCACAUGUAUGAUUAUAGGAUUCAAGCCCAUGAGGACUUGCAGUAAUAAAUAUCUUAAUUUUGAAGUAUCACUUGGAUUUUUGAGUUUACGUUGGGGAAAUCUGUUUCCUUUCUUUGUGAUAUGAAAAAAUGUACAGGACUCUAAAUUUUGUGUGCGCACGUAUUGGGGGCAGGAAAGAGAAUUAAAGGAAUGCUAAGAAGCAACCCAGCAUAGUGGUAAACAAGGGUGAAGUCAGUGUAAUUUUUUAAACAAUCUUCUUGGUCUUUUGAUUGAAUGGGAAAUAAAUGCAAUUGAUUUCUGAUCAUUUGAGAAAGUACCUGUCUCUCAGGUUGUGUUUAGAGAAUUACAAGCCUUAAUUUUGUUUCCAUGUGAGCGUAAAUAAUCAGGAUUCAACUCUUUUAAACAUACACACCCACAUGCACAGAGCAACUUGUUCCUCCUGGUUCUGAACAGGUUAAGCGUCAGCCACUCUGUUCCCUCCCCUGAAAGUCCUUGAUUUAUCAGGCAAAGGGGAAAAUUCCUGAGGGGUUCAGAGAAGAACAGAGACCAGAAGAGCAGCCGUGAGAGGACCCACUCCCUGUUUUAACUUGUUUC